GUGGCCACGAAUGCCGGGUGUUCGUCCGUCCCGUCCGUUCGUCGCCGACCGUUCGGCUUGCCUAUACCCACGGAUGGAAUGGAAUGGACUCCGGCGGAAUGGGACGAGGACGGAGUCGGCAUUAAUAAAACAUUAAGACUCCGUACAUAAAAGUGGUGAAGUCUUGCUCCGCUCCGUUUGUGGACAGGACGGCCAGCCAUGACCACGAGAUAUCCACGACGGUCAUGGACAAACGGAACGAACAAACGCGACGUGGACGAACGGACAGACGGACGGACGGACGGGCAGCUUCCAAGUCUCUUCUGGUUCCUGCGUCGCCUGUCACUCACUCGAUCGACCACUGAUGGAAGGAGAAAGGACCGCGGACGGUAGCUUCCAUCGCGCGGUGCCCUUUCUGACUCGCCGCGGAAAAACUGACACCGACGAUCGAGUUAUAGAACUUUUCCAAACGCGGACCAUUCCAACCUCUUAGCGACUGCCUGUUAAUGCCUUUCCACGCGCGACCGUCCGUUCUUCGAGGAACCAGCCUUGUUUUUCUUGUCUAUGAAGUUAUGAGAACACACAGGAAUUAGAGUGUGAAUUUUCUUCGACUAUUAUUUGAACUGUCCUCUCUGGUGUUUUGCUGGCAUCUUCUAAUACGAGAAGAUGUUUAGAGGGUUAUGGUGAAUUCGGGUUUAGAGAACUGGUUGGGAAUUUUGAACGUGGAAGGCACAGUUUCCGUAGAGUCUAUGCUUGUGUUGUGAGAAAAUUGAUUCUGGAAGCUGGUAGGGUUGUGUGAAUUGAAUAGCAGUCGCAGUGGUUCUCCGACAGUUAUACAGAAGAUUGCACAAAAAUAUUUAACCCUUUCGAUACAUGAUGUUCAAUAGAAAGAUCAAACGAUUAAUUGAAACAUCACCGAUCGACCUCCUCUGAGGACAAACCUUAAAUCCAUCUCGAUCCCUCAUUUAAUGGAUCCUUCCUGAACCUCCUUCGUUCAGAUUUGAACAAAAACUCCGCAUCAAGAGAUCCAACAGCGUGAACGCAAAAAGGAGACACGUCUGUUUAUAUCCCCGUAAGAAGAAGAAUUUUUAUUCGAUCAGCUAGCAAUGAUUUUCCUCUCGAUCCGUUCGUCGGGAAUCGUUGGAAAACUGGUGGUGGAAAGCGUGAAGAGCGUUUCGCGCUUAUCCCGUAGGUAUAUAAUACCUCUCGGUUGGCGUCAGUCACUCAGUCAGUCAUUGAUACCGCGUGGUGAUUAAUGAAGAGUCAAGGUUCAGGAUCACGGUGCCGAGUUCAGAGGAGGGGACACGACGGGAGAGCUCUCGACGUCGAGAGACGAGUAUUCGAUACAGCGCGUUCCUCAGGAAUGAAGCGGAUACGUCGCACGUGGAGGGACCAUGUCACGAGGAACGUACAAUGUUUACUCGAUACAAUUGAUAAAACCGUGAAAAGACUUUGAGAAACUGUUAAGAAUUCGUUGAAUAAUUAAAAAAUAAAAACGGUAAUUUAAAAA